CAGACCGUAGAUACAUGGUCGGCACGUCUGGUAGCGUCUCUGGCUGCUGUUGAGCUUGUUUUUGGAGUAAAACACGUGGAAGCUGAAUUAGUGAGGAUGACUCCUGCUCCUGUCAUCUCUAAGCUCCUCACACAUCUUUACCUGCACAUGAGGAAAAUCACUCCUGUAGAACGCAGAUGUUCAGAGGGAGACGAUGCCACAUCUGGUCCAGCUGAUGGAAGGUCUUGAAGUUCUCUGACUGGCCUCGACUGAAGAUGGUCGUCUCACUGGAUUUAAGAUGCACAAUGAGGGACGUCUGCAGAGACUGAGAAAGAGUCUCACCACAUCCUUACAUGAGGAAAAAGACUUUAUUGAAGACUACAAUGAGAAAAACUAUCCAGACAGCAGACGGCUGCAUUCAAGUCUGUAGCUGCUGAAUUCAUGGAUGAAUCAUCUGGCACUAGAGAGGAAGACCAUCAAACAUCCAUGUCAGCUGAUGGAGGUCCAAGAGUCUCACCAAGCAAACAACCUACAGAGUGAAGACCUCAAAUCUGAUUGGACGGCCUCCUAUUCAGCCACAUGCUACAGGAGGAGCCCUACGAGGACGAGCCGGUCCACCUGAUGGCGGCCAGUCGCUGCGGUUCAAAGCCAACACCGACUACGUGGACUUCUACUGGACCACACGGAGG
ensembl:lncRNA